rnacentral:lncRNA from 1 species
GCCACAUGGCCCAUAGAGAGACACAGGAAAUUCUUCCAACUCACAGAAUUGGGGAGCCAAGCGACAUUUGUGUUCUGGAGAAGGAAACCAGCAAGCACUAAAACAGACGAGACUCUGAGACUGACCCAUGGAAAAGUCAAUGAGGCUGCCAAUGUCACUCCUGGGGUAAUGGGAAGGAGUGUCUGGAGUGAUCACGUCUCAGAGUCUGACGACCAGACCAGCGAGGAAACUACUGAGGUACCUGUGCCACAAUACACUGAGGUCCAUCCCCAGGAGGUAGACCUCACCAGAGCCCCCGUGAAGAAAGGCACAGACACUGUGUACAGCAAAGUGCUGAAUUCGAAUCAAGCAAGGCUCAGUUGAGUAUGCCCAGUUAAACCACAAUGACCAUGAGUCAGAAGAACCAGAGUACGAACCAGACCAAGAACCCCGGCCUGAACCAGAGCCAGAACCAGAACAAGGAUCAGAGCAAGACGGACAACUUGAAUGACCACCAUCAAUAUUUAUUCUCUAAUUUAUUCAGCCCAUUGAACAACUGGAGCUGUUAUUGAUUUGAAUCCAUUUGUAUAUUGUCACAAAAAAUGUCGUACUCCUCACAGAAAAUGUCGUAUGGGAGAGAAUAGGACCAAGGCGCAGCAGGUUUGUGGAUACUCAUGCUUUUAAUGGUAAAACGAAAGGGCAUCCACAGGAAAAACAAAAUAAUAGACAGUACUCACGACACGAACAGUUUUGCAGGCUCACAAACACUGUGCAAAAACAACUACCCACAAAACCAAGUGACAAACAUACUCCUACAUAUAUGACUCCCAAUCAGGAACAACGAUCCCCAGCUGUUCCUGAUCAGGAGUCACAAGACCAACACAGAACAUUCACACACACAAGACUGCCACGUCCUGACCCCAAAACUACUACAACAGCUCCCCCUGCUGGUCAGGACGUGACAUAUAUUUUCUAUAUUUUUUACACCUCUUCUUCUUAACCUUUCGUACAGUCUUUAAAUGCCUGUAAUUAUGCCUUUGUGAAUUGAGAAUAAAACAAUGCAGCAGAAUGGGAG